UUUUUUUUGAGGGUAGCUGAUACACGAGUCAGUGGGAUUCUGUAUUUAAACCUUUUAAAAAAUCAGGAAAUCUCUAUAUUACUAUAAUUCCUAUUGAAUUGUGUUCUGUAUAUUCUUAGUGGUGUCGAUCACUAACAUUUGGGGAAAACAUCAAUUCAAUACGUUUCCAUAUAUAUUAUAAUUCUCUUUGUUCAAUACGCUACGAGGGGAAAAAAAGAGAGUCAACUGUCACUCAAGAACUGUCUUAACGUAGUGGUUAUAUUCUCUAUGGAACUGUCAAAUCCCCUUCGUUUAUCUUCUCCCAUUAACAAAAGUCUUCAUCAUAAAGACAUUCAACUUUAAUACCCAGAUUAAUACCUCAGUAAUCUGCAGUCUGAAACAACGUGACAUUGGCGGAAUAGCUUCAUAAUCAAGCUCGUCGCCAGUAAUCAAAGAAGAAGAAGAAGAA